GGGGGUUUGGGGUGAUUUUUGUUGUUAUUGGUGGGUGCCACCGUUUUCGUGGCAACCUUGAGCACCGGUGCCAGCCCAACUCCUGCGCCCAACUGUGCGCUCACGCUUUCCACACUUUCCAGCGCGGUCGCAUAGGCGGCAGCACACGUCACCAUCAUCCCGAAUUACAUUGACCGGUUGGACCGACGGAUUGGCAAAUGGGAAAUGAGAAGAAGAAGGCGAUUUAGGCGAAAAGGAAACAGAAAAAAAGGGUAGGCAAAAGUUCGCUUUCAACCAUUUUGCUUUGCGUCUUAAAAUAUAAUCACAACAUGAUAAUGCUGUUAAACAUUUACAAGAAAGUGUAAUUAAAAACGAUUUUUUGUCUGUUUCUCUAUUUCCAUAAACAUACUUUUACAAUGAACGCGCAACAAAUCCAAGAUACAGAUGUGUAUCGUUUGCCCUGAUCGUUUCCGUCCGAGGACAACAAAAGCACACUGCAGCCGGGAUGCUCCCGUGUUGACUUGCUGGUCUAAUGGUGAACGCGUUGGCUACCACAGCGUCGAGGCUCGGUUCAGAUCCCAGAAAAGGCUGUGAUUGAAUUAAUGGUGACUACGUUUGAUUGACUUUAUAUGACUACGUUUUGAUUCCAAAAUAAGUCUUGUUACGGAAAAGACCAAAAUAACAAAACUACUGGUUGGCUGGUGGCUGGCAUUGAAGGAAAGAUAAAAAUUAACAUUGAUUGACGCCUGCUAAAAGCUGCCGCAGCGGCACUUUGUGCGCGUACAUAUCAUUACACCUCCACCACACACACACACACUUCCUCAUCAUGAUGAAUCAGGUGUGUAAAUAAAGAAGAGGAGAGUGUUGUCACUACCACUUCACCCAACCACAACCGCCGCCGCGCUGUUGUAUAUACCGUCUCUCUUUGUGUCCAUCCCGCCAACCCUUACUGCCGAUGCUUAUCAACUUCCGAGGUAGCAUUUUAAAGCAUCGGCACAAAUUGGGUGAACUGUUAUCGUAAUUAUUGACCGAGUAAAAGGUUAGCGCACACACACACACACAGACAUAAAUCGCAUAUCUUAUCGUUCUAUGAAGAUAAGAAAAAAUAUGUGUGUGCUAAAUGUAAGUGUCACCGGCUAGUCACCACAGAAAAAAGGGUGUAAAAUGUCAUCGUCAAAACAGGAGACAGCAGUGCUCCGUUUAGUGAUUUUUUCUUCCGUUUUUUUUUUUUGGUGUGUGAGAUCGAUUGAAUGAAUUUGGACGCCAGCCCCGCUUGUGGUUUGCUUGUUUAGGAAUAUAUUUUUCCGAGCAAUAGUUCCUCCACGUCACACAAAAUGUCUGGCCACGACUGGCUUCCGGGACAGUGGGCAGCGCAGCAACCCUUGUUUUUACGGCCAACAAAAAAAGGGGGGGGGGAAGGAGUAUUAAGAUAAUGAUUAAGAUAAUGCGGUCUAGUAUGAAAGUCGAUAAGUCGGAUUACAUUACGUUUGAGCAAAAAAAAAAAAAAAACAACACAGCUAGUGAUGCUAGUAGUAGCAGUACGGAUUAUCACUAUGUACAAUAAACGCUUGCAGGCCCCUUCCCGUUUUGUUUGUGUGUGUUAAAUAGAUAUACAGAAAAGAUAGCAAAAAAAAAACACAGAACUAAACCUGCUAUUUGAGGAUGAAUGGGCACCUUACCAAUAUGUGUAUGUAUGUGUGUGUGUGUGUGUUUGCGUAAAAUAAUAAUAAAAAGUUAUAUUUGUUUAAAUAGUGUGCCUACAACGUGCUGACUGCGGGAGGAUGACAGAAAGCUAACUGAAUGUCGCUUUUUUGAGCGCACAAAAUAUUCUUUUAAUAAUAUGCAUGUUUGUGCAUGUGUCUGUGUGUGUGUCUGUGUGUGUGUGU